UACAGAGGUCUCAAGCGUUGUUCGGAUUCAUUGGGCGUAAAGGGUGCGUAGGCGGCGCGGUAAGUCGGGUGUGAAAUCUCGGAGCUUAACUCCGAAACUGCAUUCGAUACUGCCGUGCUUGAGGACUGGAGAGGAGACUGGAAUUUACGGUGUAGCGGUGAAAUGCGUAGAUAUCGUAAGGAAGACCAGUGGCGAAGGCGGGUCUCGUGGACAGUUCCAUGACGCUGAGGCACGGAAGGUCAGGGGAGCAAACGGG
rnacentral:rRNA from 1 species